UGAUCAUGGCUCAGAACGAACGCUGGCGGCAGGCUUAACACAUGCAAGUCGAACGCCCCGCAAGGGGAGUGGCAGACGGGUGAGUAACGCGUGGGAACAUACCCUUUCCUGCGGAAUAGCUCCGGGAAACUGGAAUUAAUACCGCAUACGCCCUACGGGGGAAAGAUUUAUCGGGGAAGGAUUGGCCCGCGUUGGAUUAGCUAGUUGGUGGGGUAAAGGCCUACCAAGGCGACGAUCCAUAGCUGGUCUGAGAGGAUGAUCAGCCACAUUGGGACUGAGACACGGCCCAAACUCCUACGGGAGGCAGCAGUGGGGAAUAUUGGACAAUGGGCGCAAGCCUGAUCCAGCCAUGCCGCGUGAGUGAUGAAGGCCUUAGGGUUGUAAAGCUCUUUCACCGAU
rnacentral:rRNA from 1 species